rnacentral:rRNA from 1 species
GACGAACGCUGGCGGCGUGCUUAACACAUGCAAGUCGAACGGAAAGGCCCUGCUUUUGUGGGGUUCUCGAGUGGCGAACGGGUGAGUAACACGUGGGUAACCUGCCCUUGACUUUGGGAUAACUUCAGGAAACUGGGGCUAAUACCGGAUAGGAGCUCCUGCUGCAUGGUGGGGGUUGGAAAGUUUCGGCGGUUGGGGAUGGACUCGCGGCUUAUCAGCUUGUUGGUGGGGUAGUGGCUUACCAAGGCUUUGACGGGUAGCCGGCCUGAGAGGGUGACCGGCCACAUUGGGACUGAGAUACGGCCCAGACUCCUACGGGAGGCAGCAGGGGGGAAUAUUGCACAAUGGGCGGAAGCCUGAUGCAGCAACGCCGCGUGCGGGAUGACGGCCUUCGGGUUGUAAACCGCUUUCGCCUGUGACGAAGCGGGAGUGACGGUAAUGGGUAAAGAAGCACCGGCUAACUACGUG